rfam:Methanoplanus limicola DSM 2279 chromosome, whole genome shotgun sequence.
GCUGAUAUAGUGUAGUUCGGCCAAUCAUGCAGGACUCUCACUCCUGCGACUGGGGUUCAAAUCCCCAUAUCAGCA